UGGGGAAUAUUGCACAAUGGGCGAAAGCCUGAUGCAGCGACGCCGCGUGAGGGAUGAAGGCCUUCGGGUUGUAAACCUCUUUCAGCAGGGAAGAAGCGCAAGUGACGGUACCUGCAGAAGAAGCGCCGGCUAACUACGUGCCAGCAGCCGCGGUAAUACGUAGGGCGCAAGCGUUGUCCGGAAUUAUUGGGCGUAAAGAGCUCGUAGGCGGUUUGUCGCGUCUGGUGUGAAAACUCGAGGCUCAACCUCGAGCUUGCAUCGGGUACGGGCAGACUAGAGUGCGGUAGGGGAGACUGGAAUUCCUGGUGUAGCGGUGGAAUGCGCAGAUAUCAGGAGGAACACCGAUGGCGAAGGCAGGUCUCUGGGCCGCAACUGACGCUGAGGAGCGAAAGCAUGGGGAGCGAACA
rnacentral:rRNA from 2 species